GGGGAUCGCAAGACCUUGCGCUAAAGGAGCGGCCGAUGUCUGAUUAGCUAGUUGGUGGGGUAAAGGCUUACCAAGGCAACGAUCAGUAGUUGGUCUGAGAGGACGACCAACCACACUGGGACUGAGACACGGCCCAGACUCCUACGGGAGGCAGCAGUGGGGAAUUUUGGACAAUGGGCGAAAGCCUGAUCCAGCCAUGCCGCGUGAGUGAAGAAGGCCUUCGGGUUGUAAAGCUCUUUUAGUCGGAAAGAAAGAGUUGCAAUGAAUAAUUGUGAUUUAUGACGGUACCGACAGAAAAAGCACCGGCUAACUACGUGCCAGCAGCCGCGGUAAUACGUAGGGUGCGAGCGNUAAUCGGAAUUACUGGGCGUAAAGGGUGCGCAGGCGGUCUUGCAAGUCAGAUGUGAAAGCCCCGGGCUUAACCUGGGAAUUGCGUUUGAAA
rnacentral:rRNA from 1 species